CACACAGGACAGGAGAGUAUACAAUGUGAUGACCCCACAAGCCACCAAACAAGCCCUGAACCAGCCACCAGGAGGACUGAAAAAGCUGAAGUCACUAUAAUCUGGGAUCUCCUGUUUCAGCAGCUUAGUCUGUAUCCUCAUCAAUACAGUGUAUCUAAGAAACUUAAAAACCUGUGCUUUACUCUCCAUAGGCUAAGAAUCAUCCAGAUAGUUUGUU
rnacentral:lncRNA from 1 species